UAGAUGGUCUUAUUAUGUAUAUGGGCUUCGUGUUCCAUAUAUUGGUAUCGGUUUAUCCAAAAGUCUAUAAGAACGAUGUUGUAGAACCCUCGCCGCCGUCCAGCCCGACAGUAAACACUCAACUCGGUCAUACUCUCCGGAAAACAUCCCGGAGAGGUUGAAACAGGGAGAUUUCCGCAUCACUCUUUUGUUUGAUAGGAAGGAGCUCAGAUAUUUUAGGAAAGAUGGGCACAACCGGAGGAAGAAGAAAGAUGGUAAAACGGUGAAAGAGGAUCACGAAAAGCUCAAGUUACUUCUUGCUGUGAAGCAGUGCCAUGAGAAGGGUAUAUGUCAUGGUGAUAUCAAGUGCGAGAACGUCUUGGUCACUUCCUGGAACUGGCUUUACCUUGCUGAUUUUGCGUCCUUCAAACCUACAUACAUUCCUUAUGAUGAUCCUUCAGACUUUUCCUUCUUUCAUGAUACAAGGGAAAGAAGGCUUUGUUAUCUGGCUCCAGAGGUACUAUAGAACCAUUAUCAAAAUUUAUUCCUUUUAUUUGUCGUAUCGUUCUAUUUCACCUCUGCUUAGAAUAUUAUUAUGCUGUACUUAUUUCUCUUUUAAUAAGCCCUUUGUCCAUGGUAGAUUUCGGAAGUUGCCGUUACUGGAGUUAGAUUAAUGAUCGAAGCGGAAUACUCAUGGGGUUGAUAUGAUCCCUGCUUAAUAGAAAGGUUCUCCUCUUAAUAUUCUCUUACCUAUAUUUUCCAAUUCUGAUUUUUGUAUCAGAUAUUAAAGAUCUAACUUUUGAGCUCACCUAACUUCAACUUUGCAUCUACAUUGAUGUUGGUUAAAAUGAACUUAAUUCAAGGUUCUGGGUUCGCUAUUUCUUUACUUAUAUGAAGAGGAUCUUUAAUCUACUUCACUUGAUUUGGGGUUUAGAUUGUGGAUGGAAUCACUUUGUUUUAAAGUAUAUGGUCCGAGCUAUGUGGGUUUUAGAGCCACGAGAUUCUUAGUGUUCUGUCAUGAUCAAAUCUUCUUUCUCUGAUUGUAAUUGGUGAAAGUUAUACAAUCUUUUAGCUUUAAUGAUUGUCAUUGAUGUGUCAAAAAAUUUCUUAAUACAUGAAAAACGUUUACACUUUUCUUAUCAUGAAAAUACAUAAAUUUUAUUACUUGGAUCGUUGUUGCUUGCUUUUAUGAUUAUUGUACUUGCUUUGUGAGCUCAAGUUGGUUAUACAAUCACAGGUAUUUGAUCUUACAGAACUGAAAGCCCAUGAAUUUGUACUUUACGGUUUGACGUGUUUGCAGCAAAACUAGAUGAAUGUGCCAGAGAGUUCAGAGAAAGGACGCAUAUCAUGGUGAGUAAUAUAUAUACAUCUUUAACCUUUAGGUUAUGGUAAUUAGAUUUUUUAAGUUAGUGGCAAUGAUGAUAGGUGGCAGGUGGUGAUGAUACAAUUGGUUCGGUUGUCUCGAUACAACUUGGCUCUGUACGCUCUAAAAAAUCUUCAAUCCAAAUUGUAACAAGAAACAUCAGGAUUCUACAAGAGACGAGCCAGGUUUUGAUUCGUCUACAUUGUCGAUAUGUAGCUUUCGUUUCUCUGAUUGACGUAGUUUUUAAUAUCUCCAUUUGUUUAUGAUGCAGUAAGUUUUUUGUUGGUAGCUUCUUUCUUUGCUGCAGUGUAUGUAACAAAAUCGAAAGAGUUCUUUCCCCAAAAAAAAUUCGAAUUCAGCUCAAAAGUUGUAAUGUGUGCAUCGGCAGAGGUGCUAAGAAUGUAUAUCGCAUGGAGACAACAGGUCUGUAAGACAUUCUGACCUCAGGUGAUGAUGAUGAUAGGUGACAGGUGGUUUCAGUGGCAAUGAUAUGAGGAUAGGUGGCAGGUGGUGAUGGUAUAGUUGGUUUGGUUCUUGGUUGUCUCGAUGAGAGACACAGAGAAUGGCAUGAUGCUUUUGAUAUACACAACUUUGCUAUGUAAUCUCUAAAAAUUCUUCAAUCCAAGUUAUAAUAAAAAUAUAUGUUUGAUACAUGGAUAAUAAUUUGAUCAUUAAAUGAGAAAACAUGAUGUUCAACCAAAAAAAGAAAAAGCAAACAUAAGAAAAUAUAGCUGUAACAAACAAUACUAACUUUUAUAUUGUGUAUCUAAUUAAAACAUUUACUCUAUUACAUUGAGUUAAUUAUUUCUUCUUUCACAAUAUCUAAAUCAAAAUUUAGGGGGAAACGUAUAACAGAAUCAGAGUACCAAUUUUUUCAAAAACAAAUAUAUAAGAGUACAAAAAUAAAUCAUAUUUUUUGCAGUUUAAGUGUGUAUAAUUAUUUGCUUGAUGACAUAUUCUUUGAUUGUUUAGAGCAUUUCCAACCCCACUCUAUUUUAAUCUAAAAUAAAGUUUAGAGUAAAAAAUGCUUCAAUGGUACUCUAUUUCUCACUCUAUAAUAGAGUGAAAAAUAGGUUUACUCCAAAUAUAGAGUAAUUUUUUUUUUAUGUUCAUCACUCUAUUUUCUACUAUAAAAUAAAGUAACUUUAUAAUAGAGUUUGAGUUUACUCCAUUGGAGAUGGUCUUAGGUAUGGAAUAUUCGAUGACAUAUUCUUUGCUAUGAUAUGAAACUCCAAUAAAAUUGUGCUAGAAAUGUAAUACUUUAUUAAUUUAUAACAUUUUGUAAAAAUAUUUUCAAAUAGCAUGAGCGACAUUUCCAACAAAUAAUUUAUCAUAAAAAAUUCAAUAAAUGCUAAAAUAAUUUACAAAACAUAAUUGGUAAAGCACUAAAAAUUAAAUUAAGAAAAGUUCAUUAAAAAUUGAAUAUCUAAUAUAAACUGAAAACAUAGAUUAUAAAACAUCAUUUUUUGUUACAAAUUAUAUAAUAAUUAUUAUUUAUGACAUUAUUGAAACUUUUAUAUUACUUUAAAAUAUAAUUAUUUAUAAUUUUAUCACAUUAUAUUUGAUUUUCGACUCAUUUAGGUUGGAGGUGGUGUAUUAUUAUCGGAGAAAAAUUAGUUAUUGUAAUAAUAUAAAAAUUUGAUACUCUUAGAAAUAAAAAAAAAUAUUAGUUAUUAUUACUUAAGAUUUUCUUCAACUAUAUCAAAUUGCAAUAGAGAUCAAAUAGAAAAAAAAAUAUAAAUCAUUACAUUUUCUUUAGGUUUUUAAUUUAAUAAUUUUGCGUCUAACAAACAAAUGUGAAUGGUCUUUUCAACUCAAACCAACAAAAUUUAAUAAAAUUUCAAUAUUAUAGUAAAUUAAAACUGAAGUAAAUUUAUUAUUUUUUUAUAAAAUGAAAAUAUAUUUUAGUAUAAAAUAGUUUUAGUGUAAAUUUAGUUUUAGUAAUAUAAAUAGUGUAAACAAAACCAUUAUAUACUCUGCAAAAAUAGACAAACAAAAAGAGAAGAAACUACAAAAGAUAGGGAUGAUGACUGCAAUGUGUGUGUAUAUAUAUGUUUGUGUAAAAAAAUUUGUUGAAAUAAAUUUGAGAUUUAUUUAGCAAUUGCAUGGGUGGUGGCAAUGAGAAGUAACAACUAAAUUUAGUUUGGCCUUCCAAAUUAACUGAACACUGAUUAAUAAGUUAUUUAGUUAAAUAACAACUGAAUACGACAGUUUCUAAGUUUAUGGAAAAUUAACCCAACAAAUUAAAUUGUAUCUAAUGAUAAAACAAAAACUAUUUUAGAAUGCAUUUACAACCAAAAAAGAGAAAAUAAAAGCUGGUAGUAGGUGAGGAGGACGAUGUCAAGAAAGAAGGGCAUAGGUUCCUCACUUAGUAAGCAUGACUGAGUGAUCUUAUUUUCCGACAAAGAAGCUUAGCUUAUUUCUGAAGGAAAAGGUCAGGUUUUUGAUAAAAGCCUGAUUUUUUCAAUGGUUUGGUUUUGCUUAAUUAUGUCAUAUUUUUAUUUGUAUUGUUUUCUCAUGAACUAUGCCGAGGUUUGGAUGACAAUACUCUUUUGUAGUUUUGGUUACAGUUUGACUUAACUUAUCCCCGAUCAUAAGAUAGUUCGGUUUCGCAUAAAAAUAACAGAUUUAAUUCAUGGGCUAUGUUAAACAGAAACCAUGUUAACUAAUUUCAUUUAUCCUAUUUCUGCUGAGAUUUCAUCAAAGCUAUUUGACAAAUUUUCUACAGAUUUUUUUUCUUGGUCACUUAGAAAACAUUUUCAAUAUGUAUAUCAAACCAUGUUUGCCUAGCUGUGAACUUAGUUAGACCAAUUAACUUAAUUUCUCAACUGGAAUAAAC